rnacentral:rRNA from 1 species
UGCCACUGCCAUAUCACCCUGCAGUCCAAGACCGGUUACUCACUGAAGCUGAGCAGGCCUGAGCCUGGUCAGUACCUGGAUGAGAAACCACAUGGGAAAAACUAGGUUGCUGUUGGAA